rnacentral:tRNA from 1 species
UCUAAUAUGGCAGAAAAGUGCAAUAAACUUAAGAUUUAUUUAUAAGAACAUUAGUCUUUAUUAGAA